UACUGACGACUCGCAAUGCAUACAAAUGCAGGAGGGAAGAAUUCAUUCGGUUUUCAACUGACGUUAUAUUAAUUUAAGGCUGAUGUGAUGUCAUUUUUACAGUCAAACGGCACUCAAAUUAAAAUAGCAUUUUUCAUAUACAGGCCAAAACUAAUCCAGUUGAAAUGCAUGUAGAAAUGUUUUGCAAUGUCAUACGUCCACACGAUCACGACAAUUAGACAAUAUGUGAUGUAACAAUUAAGGAAAAAACGCCUGCUGUAACUUUAACGUACCACGAUGAUUAUUACUUACAACGAGUCUUCUCCAAAAUCAGGAUUAUUUAAACGUUACAAGGAUCGAAUGAUCUAACCACGCAAUUUUGGUGGAAAACUUGCACAACAAAAAAGAUGCUGCCUAUUCGAGGACACGCCCUGUCGCCAGGCUGUCAUCGUCUAGUCCGCUAAAUUGCAGCCAACGUUUAGCAUGUGUUCAAAUGAUACGACAUGUACUAAGAAUGCCCAACAAAGUCCAUAUGAAAACAAAAUCGCCAAUCAAGCCAUGCUCCAAUGUUGCCUGCGCUGAGCUCGCCUUGUUCAUCGCUGCAGAGGACCGUUUACCUACCCGGCAUGUCUGCUAAAGUGGCUCAUGCGCAGGAUACGCAGCACCACUCUACAGAGAAGCCCCUGAUCCAGUGCUUUAAGUGCAGGCAACCAUGCAAGGGCGAGGUGCUGCGAGUGCAAAACAAACACUUUCACCUAAAGUGCUUCACUUGUAAAGCGUGUGGAUGUGACCUGGCCCAGGGGGGCUUCUUCAUGAAGAAUGGAGAUUAUCUGUGCACGGUGGACUACCAGCGCAUGCACGGGACUCGCUGCAAUGGAUGCGGGGACUUUGUGGAGGGGGAAGUGGUCACUGCACUGGGCAAGACUUAUCACCCUGCCUGCUUUGUUUGCACCAUUUGCAAACGGCCGUUCCCUGCCGGCGACAGGGUGACCUUCAACGGGAAGGACUGUCUGUGUCAGUACUGUAUUGAGCCCAUGUCUCCUGGACCAAAAGACGUCCUGGGCGCCAGCAAUUGUGCAGGAUGCGGUCGCGAUAUCAAGAAUGGACAGGCUCUCCUAGCAUUAGACAAACAGUGGCAUCUUGGUUGUUUCAAAUGUAAGGCCUGUGGGAAAGUGCUAACUGGAGAGUACAUCAGCAAGGAUGGUGCACCAUACUGUGAGAAGGACUACCAGAUUCAUUUUGGAGUGCAGUGCGAAGCGUGUCAUCAGUUCAUCACAGGCAAAGUACUUGAGGCGGGAGAUAAGCAUUACCACCCUAGCUGUGCGAGAUGCAGCAGGUGCAAUCAGAUGUUCACAGAAGGAGAGGAAAUGUACCUGCAAGGAUCAACAGUAUGGCAUCCUGGCUGCAAGAACACAACUAGAACAGAGGAGAAACACAGGGAGAGGCCGACGAGGUCGUCAUCUGAAAGUAUUUGUUCCAGACCUGGUUCAAGCAUACCUGGCUCACCGGGUCACACAAUCUAUGCAAAAGUAGACAAUGAGAUUCUUGAUUACAGAGACCUAGCUGCCAUUCCAAAAGUCAAAGCCAUUUAUGACAUUGAGCGCCCUGACCUUAUUACCUAUGAACCUAUGUACACCACCUCCAUGGAGGAGAGAGAGGAGAGACGAGAAAGUGUAGGAGAGCUGCUUAAUGCCAGGAGGGAGCGCUCGCCCUUACCUGACGAAAAGUAUUUUAGAACCAUGUCUCCAACCCUAUCCAAUGAGGGUUGUUAUGACAAGAGAGAACGCAUUCUUCAGCGGUCCACCAGUCAGGGUUCCUUAGGCUCGCCAGUUUAUAAUCGCCAUGGUUAUACUCCCACUCUGUCAAGGUCCCCGCAGCAUUUUCACAGGCCAGAUCAGGGCAGUAACAUCUACAGAAAACCACCCAUCUACAAACAAUAUGGUACAGAAGGAAGAAGACGAUCCAGAGAAGAAGAGGAGGAAGAUGCCUUGAAAAAAAAGCAGCUUCAGGAAGAACAUCUCAACAAGAUUCAGUCAGGUUUGGGGAAGCUAAUUCUCAGGGAGGAAAUGGAAAAAGAGCAGAUUCGGGAACGCCACGUAAGGAGUGUAUCUGCUCAGCGCUAUGACACCAAGCAGGAUAACGGGGAUGCAGAUCCAACUUCUCCAACUAGAACAAACUCUUUGCCUGGAUAUGGGAGGAAUGGCCUUCAUCGGCCCCAGUCAACAGAUUUCACACAGUACAACAGCUACGCUGACAUGUGCGGAGGAGGCAGAGAGUUUCAGGUAUGUCCCUCAUCUGCUUUUCCACAUGGCAUGCCUCCUCACCACAGAUUUGCUUGCAGUAGGCCUUUUGCCCUGAAUGCACACUGUCCACUCGCGCUACACGCUUGUAUGUCAUCUAGAUGUCACCUACCGGGCAUGCAGCCAUUUGAAAUGCACUGCCCAGUAGCUGAGCAAGUGUACUCUACGUGCAAAGUUCAAGCACCACCUCAUGUGUUGUUGUGUUUGUCUGUAUACCAAUGUCAUAACCUGAGCUUAAAAAAAAAAAAAUAGAUUUUUUUUUUCUUUACAAAUUCACCUCAGAAACACAUAAACAUCCAAUUGAACAACAUCUGCCAAUCAUGAAUACUAAGAUCCUGAACGGUAGUCAAGCUCCUUGCUCCAUCCAGUGAAAAGUGUACCCACUGUCAUAAAACAACAAAAUACUCAUGCCAUUAACCAUGCAGUCCCCUCCCACUAUAUUAUAUUUGUGUAUGUUCUAUUCUUUAGCACAUUAAGGAUGGCCGUGCAGCACUUGCAAGGAUGGACAGGGGAGUUUCUAUGCCUAAUAUGUUGGAGCCCAAAGCAAGUAUCUUCUUCUUUUUGUACUGAUGGCAACAUGUGAACUACAUUGUAUGGGCAAAAGUCCACCUUGUUAGUUGUCCCGUCCAUCAGGAGUUGGACCUGACUCCUAAAUAUUCAUUCAUUCAUUCAUCGCCUCUUAAAUAUUAAUCGUGUUACUCAUAUGUCUUAGAAAUAUUGUCUAAAUUAUUGGAAAUUACCUGAAAUGAAAAAAAAGAAAAACUGUUCAAAAGCUGUGUUCCACCUUGUUGCCAUGGUGCUAAAUGCAUUGUAGACUAAUCCAUGUGACCUUGCUUUGGUCAUUUACAUAUGCAUAUAAGUACGCUGACAGUAUUAGCUACAAAUGGAAUUUUCAGAUGCAGGCCCUUGUAAUCAUCCUUUGUGCCGCCGAUAUGAAAGGAUCUGUAUGAAAAAAACAUUUUAAAGAAAUUGCAAGGACAGUGGAACCCAAAAGUUGAACCCAAUUUGUUCUGAGACACUAGUUGACUACUUAACUGUGUAGGCAUUUUUUUAAGUACAACUCUUAACUGUCCACACUCUUAUUUACUAGUCUUAGUGUUCUUCCAGUUGAAUGGACACAUUCCCAUACACUCCAAAAUCUUGCGCAGUUCCAAACUUAAAUGGCCAGAAGUCCCAAUAUUUAUGUUCAUAUAUUGUGUGUAAAAAAAAGUACAGCGAGCCUACACUAUCAAUAUCUAAAAGUUUCAGCUGUCAUAUAACCAAAAUAUAAAAACAUAAUAUUUCCCUAUAGGUUGAUAGAAGUCGAUUACUGUACGCAGGGACAUCAAAUUGAACAUCCAAGUUGGCGAAGUUCCAGAUUUAGCAUGCUGCUUCAGGAGCAUUUCUCUAGUGCUUAGCAUGCCAGCUUCUUCAUGUUCAUCUGCACACAGCUUUGAUUUCUGGGGGCUGGAUACUGUAUGUGCUAUACAGUGGGGUACCAGCACCUAAAAUCCCAUCUAAAGCACUCAUACCACUAUAUACUGAGUAUAUCGUAUAUGAAGCAUGUCCGAAAAUUUGAAAUAUCGUGUCACAAAAGAUAGAUUUCAAAUUGAAGUUGAACAUACUUGUUGUUUUUACCCACACGUUCAAAACAAGUCCGCUUGAGUCUGGGGGUCGCUCCAGCGCGCCGAUGUUCUCCUUGGCUAGGAUUUGUCGGAUGCUUAGGGCACUGUGGGCCAACGUGUUGACACGGUAAAGCAGCCACAAGUUUUCCUGGCACACGUCUCAUGUCUUCUCAUGUACGGAACGAAGCUAACGCUACAGGAUAUUUCUGGAGACGUGCUGGUUGAUCCCUGAUGCUCCUCAUCUCGAAAAUUGCAAUCAACUUGACUUUGCACUUUGACUGCCUUGCUUUAUUCAGACUGGACUUUUCCACUAAGGGUUAUGGCAUUUGGUUGUACCUACUUGAAGGAUUUCGCAAUAGUAUUGACUCUCCCUAGAGGGUCUGGUCUCAAUCACACUGGAAUUAGUUGAGAGCCUGACUCAGAAGAUAUUUACAAUACAUCACAGUUAGUACGUACUUCACAACAAUGGCAGUGAAGGGGAAACAUGUACUUUGUUGUCCUUGCUUGAAAUGUAUCAUUUGUGACAGCAGUCUUGGAAGUUUUCUGACACACCUCGAAAUGGAGCUCCCACUCGUGUGUGGUCAGAAAAUUAGAAGAAAUAUAAACACAUUGCUUAUCCAGCACAUCGCCACAAUUUUGAUUUGCCGCUUUGUUUUCAUACAGGUGAAAGUAGGUUUGGAGUUUACUUUUGGAGGGUUUACUUGGCCAGCAUUACUAAUGUUACCCUUAUAUAACCAUGUCUACCCGUUCCUUCUUGACCUAUUGCACGUACGAGUAUGCACCCGACUAGCAUUUCCCCAAACGACUGCUUUCACUUUCAGUCACCCUCCUCUCACAUACCUCUUCUCUUGCCUAGUUUUCCCUCUGUCACGAUCACAAUUAAAUUCACGUAGAGUCAUUAUUCUUUAGUUAACUAAACUAGUUAACUUGGGUGCGUGACCCUGUACACUGAUGAGUGUUUUCCUCUGAAGGUGUAUCCCUAUGAAAUGCUCAUGAUAACCAGUAGAGGGAGACCUAAACUGCCCAGGGACGUGGACAGAACCAGACUGGAGCGCCACUUAGCACCUGAAACAUUCUUUGACAUCUUUGGAAUGGAGAUCCAGGAGUUUGACAGGCUUCC